UCAAGGGCCCACACACCGCUGCUUUCUCCCUUGCCGCUGACGUCAGCAAGUGCCCCUCCGUCUGCGCUCCUCCCCCGACACCCCGGAAUGAUGCCGUCCCAGGAAGGUUGAGCUCGGGCCGGAAAACAAGCCUGUAUGCAGUGGUGAGCAGCUGCGCUCGGACCUUCGGGUGGGGUGUAUGCAGGGAUACCGGGGGAUUUUCCAUGCUCUAAGCCGUCCAGGCAACACCCAGACCUACUGCUGAGAGGAUUGUGUAUUGGGUGAGCGCUGGAUCAGCCAGGAGGCGGCGACACUUGGGAUGGAAGCAGCGCUCUGGCUCCGCCUUCGAGCUCACCCACCCUCCUGACUCACUCCCAUCCACCGUGCAACAACGUCAGUCAACUCACACGCCCGCCUGGAAAUGUGUGUUAACUUGUGCAAAACAGCACCCAUGGCAAGCACUCAACUCUAACACGCUCCGAGUUAAAAUGCCGAGAUCGAGAGCUUCUAUAAAUAAAAACCACACAGGUGAUUCAUUACCACUGAAAUUUGUUGUAAAAAAAAAAAAUCCUUAUUUUGGUUGCUCGGGCUCUGAAUUCAAAUGACAUUCCAAAAUAUUGACGUUACUCAUGUUUAUUUAUAGGCUCCUUCAACCUGUAAAUAAAUAUUAAUGAGAUCUUUGCUGCUUGGCUGGUUUUCCCAUCGUGGAUGAGGUCACUAAUAUGCUAUUGGACUUGAGGCAAACAGAACACGUGUGCCACCUGUAUGCAGUAUAAAACACCGGAGCUGCUCACGUGUCUCCAGCACACCUGCGAUUACAGCUGCUACCACGGCACCGCAACGUGAAGGCUACGCUCCAUUCAGAGCGGCGCGGCUCAGCCAGAGGAGUUCAUAUUCCGGUUGGCCCCUUUCACCUUGUAACUGGAUCUAGUCUGAACAUUGUCACAUUAAAACAGGCAAAUAAAAAAUACUGCGGCAAAUU